rnacentral:rRNA from 1 species
GACGAACGCUGGCGGCGUGCCUAAUACAUGCAAGUAGAACGCACAGUUUAUACCGUAGCUUGCUACACCAUAGACUGUGAGUUGCGAACGGGUGAGUAACGCGUAGGUAACCUGCCUGGUAGCGGGGGAUAACUAUUGGAAACGAUAGCUAAUACCGCAUAAUAUUAAUUAUUGCAUGAUAAUUGAUUGAAAGAUGCAACUGCAUCACUACCAGAUGGACCUGCGUUGUAUUAGCUAGUAGGUGAGGUAACGGCUCACCUAGGCGACGAUACAUAGCCGACCUGAUAGGGUGAUAGGCCACACGGGGACUGAGACACGGCACAGACUCAUACGGGAGGCAGCAGUAGGGAAUAUUCGGCAAUGGACGAAAGUCGGACCGAGUAACGCAGCGUGAGUGAAGAAGGGUUUCGGAUAGAAAAGAUCUGUUGUAAGAGAAGAACGGGUGUGAGAGUGGAAAGUUCACACUGUGACGGUAUCUUACCAGAAAGGGACGGCUAACUACGUG